UUCGGCAUAACACCGGGAAACUGGUGAUAAUUCCGAAUAAACCAGAUAUGCUGGAAUGCUUUCUGGUUAAAAGCUUCGGUGCCUUAGGAUGGAUCUGCGGCCUAUCAGGUAGUAGUGGGUGUAAUGUACCUACUAGCCUACGACGGGUACGGGUUGUGAGAGCAAGAGCCCGGAGAUGGAUUCUGAGACAUGAAUCCAGGCCCUACGGGGCGCAGCAGGCGCGAAAACUUUACAAUGCGGGAAACCGCGAUAAGGGGAUACUGAGUGCCAGCAUUUAUGUUGGCUGUCCACAUGUCUAAAUCGCAUGUGUUAGCAAGGGCCGGGCAAGACCGGUGCCAGCCGCCGCGGUAACACCGGCGGCCCGAGUGAUAACCACUAUUAUUGGGUCUAAAGGGUCCGUAGCCGGUUUGAUCAGUCUUCCGGGAAAUCUGACAGCUCAACUGUUAGGCUUCUGGGGGAUACUGUCAGACUUGGGACCGGGAGAGGUAAGAGGUACUACAGGGGUAGGAGUGAAAUCUUGUAAUCCCUGUGGGACCACCAGUGGCGAAGGCGUCUUACCAGAACGGGUCCGACGGUGAGGGACGAAAGCUGGGGGCACGAACCGGAUUAGAUACCCGGGUAGUCCCAGCCGUAAACGAUGCUCGCUAGGUGUCUGGGACGGUGCGACCGUUUCAGGUGCCGCAGGGAAGCCGUGAAGCGAGCCACCUGGGAAGUACGGCCGCAAGGCUGAAACUUAAAGGAAUUGGCGGGGGAGCACUACAACGGGUGGAGCCUGCGGUUUAAUUGGACUCAACGCCGGAAAACUCACCUGGGGCGACAGCAAUAUGUAGGUCAGGCUAAAGGUCUUACCUGAAUCGCUGAGAGGAGGUGCAUGGCCGUCGUCAGUUCGUACUGUGAAGCAUCCUGUUAAGUCAGGCAACGAGCGAGACCCA
rnacentral:rRNA from 1 species